rnacentral:lncRNA from 10 species
AAGUGAUCAUGGGAGAGGAACUGGUGGCUUUAUAAGAAAAGCAAGAGAGGGCUGAGCUAGCCUGUGAGCACUCAGCUUCUUCACCAGCUGAUGUCCUGCACCACUAUGGGACUCUGCAGAGAGUCAUCAGCAGCAAGAAGGACCUCACCAGAUGCAGCCCCUUGGCAAUGGACGUCUCAGCCUCCAUAACUGUAAGAAAUAAAUUCCUUUCUUUGUAAAUUAUCCAGAUUCAGGUAUUCUGUUAUAAGAAACAGAAAACAGACUAAGACACCUGUCCUUUCUUGCCCAAACAGUCUUUCUGUAAAUACUUCCUGAUGCCUCUUCUGUACCCAGCCCUUGGGAAGUUGACAUGAGAGGCAGGGUGAUACUUAUGCACCCAGACCUGUCCCCCUGCCUUCCCCACCCACAUGCUCAGCACCUUCCUGAAAUUAAUCAUAGAAUCUUCAGAUUACAUGAUCUGAAGUGCUCAGACUCUGCAGAAGGUGUGAAUUAUACAAGCUCUGAGCUUUUAAGUUCUCUUAAGCUUUUUGUUUCUUUUUCUUUUUUUCCUUUUUAUUUAUUUAUUUAUUUAUUUAUUUAUUUAUUUGAGAUAGAGUCUCACUCCCUCUGUUGCCCAGGCUGGAGUGCAGUGACAUGACCUUGGCUCACUGCAACCUCCACCUCCCCGGUUCAAACGACUCACAUGCCUCAACCUCCCAAGUAGGUGGGACUACAGCCAUGUGCCACCAUGCCUGGCUAAUUUUUGUUUUUUUAGUAGAGAUGGGUUUUCACUAUGUUGGCCAGCCUGGUCUUGAACUCCUGGCCUCAAGUGAUCCACCCGCCUCAGCCUCCCAAAGUGCUGGGAUUACAGGCGUGAGCCACCGCACCCAGCUCUCCUAAGUCUUUUAGUAUAAGUUUAGAAUGGAAGAAAUGCAGGAACUUAGGCCCUGAAAAUGUUAGAAUUAGGGAAUCUUAGGGUGCUAAAUUGUUAAAAUAUAAAAACCAUUAAAAUGGUGGAGUUAUUUAACCAGAAUGUGUUAAACUUGCAGAUUCUUAGAACCAUGGAAAAUCAGAAUGUCCUGGGUGGAGGGGAUCUUCUAGAAGCCAGGAACACAUGUCCUAUCUGGGGCACAAAUCCCUUCUGACCCCCAGCAGCCUUCUUCUCCCUGCCUGAUUCCCGUCCAAGGGUCUUAUUGCUCAGGCAUGCUCUGAGCUUCCUAGCUGCUGCGACCUUGUCUUCUGGCCACUGGCUGCUGCCCAAGGUGCUUCACAGCCCAGCCCUAUUUUCCUUCCACCCUCUCCAUCCACUCCUUAAAGACACCAGAAGCCAGACCUGUCUUCCUGCCUUGCUCCCGUGGUCUCCUCUGCCCAGCUUGCCCUUCCCUUCACUCCUCACCUCCCCACCUCUCCCUGUUGAGAGGCUAGCCCCUUGUCAAGGGUCUCCCCAAACAUCACCUGCACAGGGAUGUGCUCCUGUGUUCCUGAGUGGCUGUCACAGCCCUCCUUUAUCCUCAUGCCUACAAAUCACCUCAUGUCUGCAAAUCCCUUCAAGUCUUAGAGCCUCAGUCUCAGCUUCUGUCAAAUGAGAAGAAGAAAAGUACGCCCCUCAACGGGUUGUUGUGGGAAUGAAAUUCGGUAACACAGAAAAUACUUAGCCCAGGGCCUGACACAGGAGAGGUGCUCAGCCAACAUGAGCUAAAGACCUCAGGAGGCAUGCUGGCUCCAGAGCCCUGGCUGGUUGCACCAGAUCAGGGCAUCCAUGGGCAAAUGCAGAACCAACUGAAUGAGCUGUUGAGCCUCAGCCCAGGAAGAAGGGAAGUGUGCACCUGGCAGGGAGGUGCCCAUCCAGGACGAAUCCCUGAAAGAGGAUGGAUUGCUUCUGCCAGGAACUAUUUGGAUGAUGGAGGAAGAUGAGGAUCCCUUGCUUCAGGGCCCUGACCCACAGCCACCUGAGAGGCACGUGACAAUGGUGAGUGCUGGGUUGCCCUGGGAGAGGAUGGAGGGGUCACUCUGAAGAUCCCCACAGGUGGUGGAAGGAUGACAUGAGAUUGGGGUCAGAGUCAGAGCCGGCUACAAGCUUUUCUACAGACUCAGCUUCCUUUCCAGGCACAAAGAACGUGACUCUGCCUGUGCGUGGGAGACUGGGAGAGUGAGCACGUGCGCGUGUGUGCGUAUAUCUGUGCCUAUGCAUACUAGGUGUGUGGGUGUAUGCACCUGUGUGAGGAUGGGUGGAUGCAGGGGGACUGGGAGGAGGAGAGUGAGGUAUGCGUGCAUAGGCGUGCCUGUGUGUGCAUGAGGACCUUGAUGGGGAUGCACCCCUCUCGUGUAUAUUUCAUGCGUGUGUUGGUGUUGUAUGCGGAUUGUAUGGGGCUACCGCUGGCAGCUUAGUGGAACAUCUGGGGCACAGAUUCUGGAGCGGAAAGCCUAGUCUGCACCCUGGCUCUUCAGCUUGCUGGCAAAGGGUACCAGCCACCCUAAAAUAGGCCACUUUGGCACAUGGAUUAUUUUGAGCUAAAGGCCGUUGAGAACCAGCCACCACAGGAAAAGCUCCUUAUCUCCUCCUAACUGCCUAAAAAUUGAGUGCAGACAAUCCCCAACUUACCAUGGUCCAAUUUGGGGUUUUUCGGCUGUGAUGUUGCAUUCAGUACACUCCUGGACUUACAAUGGGUUAACUCAGAAUAAACCCAUCAUAAAUGGAAAAUAUUGUAAGUCGAAAAGGCACCAUCAUAAGUCAUGGAGCAGCUGUACAAAUAGACCCUUUUGUAAGGGAAAUUUCCACGUGUAAAGAUGUCUCAUACGUGGGAGAGAGCUGCUCCUGGGGAGCCCUGCUGUCACCUGAGGCUUUUCUCUGCAGAACAAGAUAACUCUUAUUUACCUACAUCUCCUCCUGACCCCUUCCCAGAACAGCCCUCCCCAGCCCAGAAACUCAAAACCCCUUUUCCUUUGUUGAUAUUUAAACCCCAGUCCCACCCACCCCUUUGGUUACUGAUCGCUGGGUGCUCUCAUGUGUAUACACAAUGCACUUAUUAAUGAACUUCGGUUUGUUUUUCUCUUGUUCAUCUGUCUUUUUCGAGUCUCCCUUAUGGGGCCCCAGCCAGAAAGCCUAAGGUGGGUGGAGGAAAAGGAUCAUUUCCUCGCUCAUGCCAUAGGGGAGGCAAGCUCUCCUAGAGGGGUGCUAGCCACCCCAAAAUAUGUCUCUUCGGCACAUAGACUAUUUUGAGCUAAAGGCCAUUGAGAACCAGCACAAGGUGCUGGAGAAAGGCCACAAAGAGUAUGUCAGGGAGGCCACCAGGAGCUCAUACUUCCUGGAGCUCAACAGGCUUGAGGCAGGACAUGCUGUGUGUGGGAAUUGUGUGGGGGUGGGCGGGGGGUUGGGAAGGAUGGAGGAAGAGAUUGUGUGUGCAUGGAGGAGGUGCAUGGGUGUGUGAGUGUGUGCACAGGUGUUCUGUGAGUAGGUGUAGGGGGCUGUGUGUGUGUAUGUGCAUGUGGGUGGGGCUGCACAGGUGUGUGGCUGUGCAAAGAGAUGUUCUAUGAGUAGGUGUAGGAGUGUGUGUGUGCGUGUGCAUCUGUGUGUGCAUGUGGGUGCAUGGCGUGUGGGUGAGUGCACAGGUGUGUGGGUAGAUAGGAGUGUGUGUGUGCGCGUGCGCAUGCGGGGGUGCUCAGGUGUAUGGGUGUGUGUGUGCACAGGUGUGUGGGUAGGUAGGGAUGUGUGUAUGUGUGAGAGUGUGUGUACAUGUGGGGGGUACAGAGGUGUGUAAGUGUGUGUGCACAGGUGUUGUGUGGGUAGGUAGGGGUGUGUGCAUAUGUGUGUGUGCAUGCGGGGGUGCACAGGUGUGUGGGUAGGUAGGGAUGUGUGUGUGUGCAUGUGGGGGUGCACAGGUGUGUGGGCGUGUGUGCACAGGUGUUGUGUAGGUAGCCCCCAAGGGGUGUGUGUGUGUGUGUGUGCAUGCAUACAUGUGUGUCUGGGCCGGGUGAGAGUGUCGGCACAUCUGUGCACGCAGUCAGCUCCAUCAAGGCUGAGGUUGAGGCUCUGACCCCUCACAGGACCUCUGGGAAUCCAGGCCUUGCUGCCAGUCCUCAGCUGCAGGCCAGGCAUCCACCGCAAGCCCUGGCUGGGGAGCAAGGUGAGAAAAAAGAGAAAUUUUGUAUCUGAGGAAUGUGAGCCCCUUUAAACGAUCAGGCCCAGAGAGGCACUGAAAUGUGACAGCAGCCAUGUCUCUCUCCUGCCUUGAGCUAAAUAAUGACUUCUUGAAGCCACUUGCUAUGUGGACUGACUGACACCAGGCAGCCAUAAAAUGCCAUCUGGACACCAUACUUCAUACCCUAUCAUUCAACAAUGCACAGCCAAUCACAGCUCAAUGUCAUCUCUGCAACCCAGUGAGAAUGCCUGUCAAACAACUGUAUCUGCUUCAAAAACCUGCUCGUAAUGAAGGCUGGACGGAGCACUCCCCAAGGCAUCUUAGAAGUGUGUCCUGGGUGGCCGGGUGCAGUGGCUCACACCUGUAAUCCCAGCACUUUGGGAGGCUGAGGCGGGUGUAUCGCGAGGUCAGGAGAUCGAGACCAUCCUGGCUAACACGGUGAAACCCCGUCUCUACUAAAAAUACAAAAAAAAAUUAGCCGGGCAUGGUCGUGGGUGCCUAUAGUCCCAGCUACUCGGGAGGCUGAGGCAGGAGAAUGGCAUGAACCCAGGAGGCAGAGCUUGCAGUGAGCGGAGAUCGUGCCACUGCACUCCAGCCUGGGUGACAGAGCAAGACUUCAUCUAAAAAAAAAAAAAAAAAGAAGUGUGUCCUGGGCUGCUGUCCUCAACCUUGGCCCAAAUAAACUCUCUAUAUUAAUUUUGCCUCAGUUUCUUUAUUUCAGUCAACAAAAGGUGACUCCAUGCAGCUCAGCCCCACAGGAGACCCCGGGGCCCCUGCUUGGAGCCCGUGAGAGCCUGUGAGGGCAGGAGGUCGCCCUCCUGAUGCCAAGGGAGGACACAUUUCUGCAGCCCACCUGUGUGACCUUUGUGUCCUCUCUUGGACCUCCAGAAGCCAUGCCCUGAGUGGGCACUGGGAUUCCACAGGACUCAGGGACGCACUCCACUUGGCUGUGGGGCCAUCUCAACCUCAGGACGGUGGGGCAGACAGAGUGUCAGGGCUCAGAGGCACCGCAGAGCCUCCCGGGCCAGGGUCUGCACUGGUCCCAACCACACACAGUAAGACACUGGAAAAACC